rnacentral:sRNA from 1 species
CUAUUGCAGCUGCUGCUGCUGCUGCUGCAGUUGCUAUUGCAGCUGCUGCUGCUGCUGCUGCAGUUGCUAUUGCAGCUGCUGCUGCUGCUGCAGUUGCUAUUGCAGCAGCUGCUGCUGCUGCAGUUGCUAUUGCAGCUGCUGCUGCUACUGCAGUUGCUAUUGCAGCAGCAGCUGCUGCUGCAGUUGCUAUUGCAGCAGCAGCUGCUGCUGCUGCUGCAGUUGCUGCUGCUGCAGCAGCAGCAGCUGCUGCUGCUGCUGCUA